UAAUAAUAAUAAUCUUCUAUCAAUAAUAAUAAUAAUCUUCUACCUUAUGUAUAGGAGAAUUGCAAGAGCUACAUGUCUGCGCAAAAAAAAAAAAACAAUAGAAAUAAUUCUUACAUUAGAAAAAGAGAAAAUAUUGAAACUAAAGAAAAAUAAAAAAGGUUUUACAUUUAAAAAAAAAUAGAGGGAAGAUUGAAAUUAAUAAAAAGAAAAAAA
rnacentral:lncRNA from 1 species